GCUGCUCUUCUGUUCUGUUCUGUUGUUAACCACAGUCAUACAAAAAAAGGCCCUGAGAAGGCCAUGUGUUAGCAAACAUUUCCCUAUCGACACAUCAAGCAGACAUGGAUUAACAUUAGCAUUUAUUUGGAGUCGUGUUUCUGCCCACCAGACCACUUGAGCCAGGCUUUGGGCUGCCAGCGGAGGACGUGAAGUCAGGCCAGGGAGCCAAGGCCACUGUCAGCUCUCAGUGGUUAGAAUAACCUAGAAAAAACCUCCUGGGAACCUGGGCUUGGAUCAGACCAGUGCUGGCAGGGAGACCAGGCGAGAGGCUGAACUUCCAGUAACGCGUUGUUGGUUCUGGUCUUUUCAUGGCAUUUGUUGACAAGAAGCUUAUCCUGGUACUUUAAGGAUGCAAUAGUUCAUCACCCUGGACCUGGUGAAGCACUUUUUGGCCGACGGGGACGGAUUGAUGGAAGAGAAAUUUGGGAGAGAGAGAGAGUUGGCAGAGUUCCCCUGCAUGUUGUGUUACAGCUGACCCUAUCCUCAACUUUGACCCCUGACCCUGGCAGAGAUCUGUCAUGAGAGGGAGCUGCUUAACACAAAAUGGAGCCUGGUUCAAGAGUCAGAAAGAGAGCGAGACAUGCACAGAGUGGGGGAGAGAGAGAGUGAGACAGUGCUCCACCGCACACAGAGGACUCAUUUAUCCUCUCUCUCUCUUGACUGCAGUUUUUUUUUUUUUCUUCCUCUCUUUUGUUUUCACUGCACAGAAACUGUUGCCCUUUUCUUCCUAUACAUCUCCUCUCUUUCUCUCCGUCUUUCCUCCCCCCUCCAUCUUCUCGCCCUCCUCGUCUGGUUGCUUUUGGACAACAGCAUGCCAUCAUCAGCGGCCACCGCCACCACCACAGGUACGGAUUCAUGGCUGCGAGGACCAGCAGGAUUCUGGGGGGGAAUUUGUGAGACGAGGCUUUAAUGAGUGCGAGGCCUCGUCGGCCGGCGAGAAAUGUAUGCAAAUGAUAUGCACACACCAAAAAGGACCCUGGGUAGGCGAGGCGAGCGCCGGCCGAGCUCCUGCUGAGCUCUGAGGAAGAUGAGCGGCUCAGGUCAGAAGAAUGACAACAAAACACCUCCUCCUCCUUUUCUCCUUCUUUCUUUUCCUUCAUCGUGCAUCUAGGAGAGCAGAGAAAGAUGAAAACUGCUGAACACAUUAGCUGAGACUUUGUUUUGCUGCUACAUAAUGCUGUUUUUAGUUCCUGGACUGCUGUUGCUAGGUAGAUUGUUUUGUUUUUUCUGUUAUUCAUAUUUGCAAGCUCACUGACAUUUGUUGGGUAAAUUAUCUGGAGAUUAAACACAUCUGGGUUUUACAUCCUGACUUUCCAGACUUUUAAUUGUCAUAAAUGAUUACCCUAAAAAUAAAAAAUUGAGCUCAGCAGAGAACUCACAUUGUGCCCUUUAAUUGUGCUUAUGGAAGUCAUUUUUUGGUAAUUUGACAGUAACUUCUUUUGACACUCCAUUUGGAAAUUUAAACUCACAACAUGGCCAUUUAAUCAUGAGGGUCUAGUGUAUGUAAUAGGCCGAGAUGGAAGUGACAUGACCUGUUUUACUCUUGUAAUAAAAUGCAUUUGUCAAUAAUUAUAAAA